rnacentral:rRNA from 1 species
UGAGGAAUAUUGCACAAUGGAGGAAACUCUGAUGCAGCAACGCCGCGUGGAGGAUGACGCAUUUCGGUGUGUAAACUCCUUUUAAGAGGGAAGAUAAUGACGGUACCUCUUGAAUAAGCACCGGCUAACUCCGUGCCAGCAGCCGCGGUAAUACGGAGGGUGCAAGCGUUACUCGGAAUCACUGGGCGUAAAGGGUGCGUAGGCUGGCUUCUAAGUCAGAUGUGAAAUCCAAUGGCUUAACCAUUGAACUGCAUUUGAAACUGGAAGCUUAGGGUUCAGAAGGGGAAGAGGGAUUUAGUGGGGUAGGGUAAAAUCCCGUAGAUAUCACUAGAAAUAUAAAAAGGGAGGGGGUUCUGCGGGGAUGUUACGGACGCGGGGGAACGAAAGGGGGGGAGCAAACAG